rnacentral:rRNA from 1 species
AUGCUCCGCUCCAUCGCAUGGUGGGGUGGGAAAUGCUUUUGCGGCAUGGGAUGGGGUCGCGUCCUAUCAGCUUGUUGGCGGGGUGAUGGCCCACCAAGGCGUUGACGGGUAGCCGGCCUGAGAGGGUGACCGGCCACAUUGGGACUGAGAUACGGCCCAGACUCCUACGGGAGGCAGCAGUGGGGAAUAUUGCACAAUGGGCGCAAGCCUGAUGCAGCGACGCCGCGUGCGGGAUGGAGGCCUUCGGGUUGUAAACCGCUUUUGUUCAAGGGCAAGGCACGGUUUCGGCCGUGUUGAGUGGAUUGUUCGAAUAAGCACCGGCUAACUACGUGCCAGCAGCCGCGGUAAUACGUAGGGUGCGAGCGUUAUCCGGAUUUAUUGGGCGUAAAGGGCUCGUAGGGCGGUUCGUCGCGUCCGGUGUGAAAGUCCAUCGCCUAACGGUGGAUCUGCGCCGGGUACGGGCGGGCUGGAGUGCGGUAGGGGAGACUGGAAUUCCCGGUGUAACGGUGGAAUGUGUAGAUAUCGGGAAGAACACCAAUGGCGAAGGCAGGUCUCUGGGCCGUCACUGACGCUGAGGAGCGAAAGCGUGGGGAGCGAACAGGAUUAGAUACCCUGGUAGUCCACGCCGUAAACGGUGGAUGCUGGAUGUGGGGCCCUUUCCACGGGUCCCGUGUCGGAGCGCAACGCGUUAAGCAUCCCGCCUGGGGAGUACGGCCGCAAGGCUAAAACUCAAAGAAAUUGACGGGGGCCCGCACAAGCGGCGGAGCAUGCGGAUUAAUUCGAUGCAACGCGAAGAACCUUACCAUGGGCUUGACAUGUGCCGGAUCGCCGUGGAUACACGGUUCCUUCGGGCCGGUUCACAGGUGGUGCAUGUCGUCGUCAGCUCGUGUCGUGAGAUGUUGGGUUAAGUCCCGCAACGAGCGCAACCCUCGCCGCAUGUUGCCAGCGGGUGAUGCCGGGAACUCAUGUGGGACCGCCGGGGUCAACUCGGAGGAAGGUGGGGAUGACGUCAGAUCAUCAUGCCCCUUACGUCCAGGGCUUCACGCAUGCUACAAUGGCCGGUACAACGCGGUGCGACACGGUGACGUGGGGCGGAUCGCUGAAAACCGGUCUCAGUUCGGAUCGCAGUCUGCAACUCGACUGCGUGAAGGCGGAGUCGCUAGUAAUCGCGGAUCAGCAACGCCGCGGUGAAUGCGUUCCCGGGCCUUGUACACACCGCCCGUCAAGUCAUGAAAGUGGGUAGCACCCGAAGCCGGUGGCCCGACCCUUGUGGGGGGAGCCGUCUAAGGUGAGACU